GGUUUCUUGAUUUAGUAUUUAAGAAAUUUAACCUGCCCGCUGAAAUUAAUUUGAAGGGCCGCAGUAUUUUGACUGUGCAAAGGUAGCAUAAUCAUUAGUCUUUUAAUUGAGGGCUGGAAUGAAUGGUUGGAUGAGGUAAGAGCUGUUUUAUAUUAAUUGAAAUUGAAUUUAAUUUUUAAGUAAAAAAACUUAAAUGUUAUUAAGGGACGAGAAGACCCUAUAGAGUUUAAUAUAUAUAUACUAAAUUAACUUAGUUGAUAAAUAAUAUUUAGUUAUUGUAAUAUUUAUUUGAUUGGGGUGAUAAAAAGAUAAAUGAAACUCUUUUUUAAAUUUAAUAGUAUUUUUAGUUAAUUGAUCCAUUAUAAGUGAUUGAAAGAUUAAAUUACCUUAGGGAUAACAGCAUAAUUUUUUUUGAGAGUUCAUAUUAAAAAAAAAGAUUGUGACCUCGAUGUUGGAUUAGGAUUAGUUUAUAGGGUGUAGAUGUUCAAUAACUAGGUCUGUUCGACCUUUAAAAUCCUACA
rnacentral:rRNA from 1 species